rnacentral:rRNA from 1 species
GAUGAACGCUAGCGGCAGGCCUAAUACAUGCAAGUCGAACGCUCAGUAGCAAUACUGGGAGUGCCGCGCGGGUGCGUAACGCGUACACAAUCUACCUCUAAGCGGGGGACACCUCCUGGAAACGGGGAUUAAUACCGCAUAAUAUGCCGAGGUCGCAUGACUUUGGUAUUAAAGCAGCAAUGCACUUAGAGAUGAGUGUGCGUCCCAUUAGGUAGUUGGUGAGGUAACGGCUCACCAAGCCUAUGAUGGGUAGCCGGUCUGAGAGGAUGGGUCGGCCACACGGGCACUGAGACACGGGCCCGACUCCUACGGGAGGCAGCAGUAAGGAAUAUUGGUCAAUGGGUGGAAACACUGAACCAGCCAUGCCGCGUGGAGGAAUAAGGUCCUACGGAUGUAAACUCCUUUGUACGAGGAAGAGAGU